rnacentral:rRNA from 1 species
GACAGAGGGUGCAAACAUUGUUCGGAAUUACUGGGCGUAAAGCGCGUGUAGGUGGCAAGGCAAGUCGGGUGUGAAAGCCCUGGGCUCAACCCAGGAAGUGCACUCGAUACUGCCUCGCUAGAGUCCCGGAGAGGUUGGUGGAACUCUCGGUGUAGAGGUGAAAUUCGUAGAUAUCGAGAAGAACACCGGUGGCGAAGGCGGCCAACUGGACGGUGACUGACACUGAGACGCGAAAGCGUGGGGAGCAAACAGG